GUGGCUAUAGCUCAAUUGGUCAGAGCACUACUUUGUGGAAGUAGGGGUUGUCGGUUCGAUUCCGUCUAGCCACCCCA
rnacentral:tRNA from 1 species